rnacentral:sRNA from 1 species
CUGCCGCAGGUUCGGGUCGAACGCAGUGAGACAACGGAGCCGCUUGCGGCAACGGCCCGAAGGGCGAGCGAAGCGAGUCAUCCUGCACGACCCACCA